GUCUGGCAGAGGCGGACAGGGACCUAUCCCUCUCCCCCUUUUAACUCUAGGCUGGGAGUCUGGGCCGGCUUAGUGGAGGGUCAAGGAUCCAUCUCAGGGGGAUAUACUAGGUGUGAGAAACACUAGCACAGAGCCACCAAAGGUUAGGGGAGGAAGGAAGUGGGACAAAGGUGAGAAGCGAGAGGAGAAGGCUCUAGACCUCAAGAAUCAGAACGUGGUUUUACAAAUUGCAAAGGGCCGUCCCGGGAGCUGCCCAAGGAGGGUCCGCAGCGACUUCUCCUGCUCCGACGGUGCAUGCGGAUGAGGUUGAGGAUGACACUGAAGUUGCAGGCGAGCACCGCGACGAUGAGGAGCAGCAGCACGGUGGCGUAGAGCUGCAGGAAGAUCAACUUAGAGGGCGGGACCCAAAUUAGGAGGAAGUGAAAAGCUCGCCUGGUUGUCCAAGGAACCAAACUUUGCCGCUGAGCUGUCUGUUGCCCUGCUGCUUUGAUUCGGUUGCCAGCAUUUCGCCUUUUCCUAUGUCAACACCAUAACGGAUAACCACUUGUUUAAGCAAGCCAGAAAAGAAAGAAAAAGAAAUGUU